AUGGCGCAUUUCCAGGGCCAGCAGCACGGCCACCAGGCCACCCGCGUCGACGAGUACGGCAACCCUGUGACGGCCGGUCACGGCGUCAUCGGGACCGAAGGCUUGGGGCACUUCCAGGGCCAGGGCCAGCAGCACGGCCACCCCACCACCCGCCUCGACGAGUACGGCAACCCGGUCACGGCCGGCCACGGCGUUGGGCUGGGAUCCACCGGCACCGGAGUGCACGGCGGGUACGGGUCUACCGGCACCGGCACCCACGACACUGGCGGCCACGGCCGCCAGGUCGGUUUCGGUGCCACUGGCACGGGCACCCACGACGCUGGGGGCUAUGGAGGCUCUGGAAUUGCCCCUCGGCACGACACCACCGGCACUGGGGUUCACGACGCCGGUGGGUUGGGCACGCGGCAUGCCGCCACCGGUACCCACGGCACAGGGCACACGGCCGGGUACGGCGCCACCGGGACCCAUGGCACAGGCCACACCGCGGGGCUCGGCGGCACCGGCACAGGGAUGACCGGGACCCAUGGCACAGGCCAUACCGCCGGGCUCGGCAGCAUCGGCACAGGGAUGACCGGGACCCAUGGCACAGGCCACACCGCCGGGCUCGGUGGCACCGGCACAGGGAUGGCCGGGACCCACGGCACAGGCCACACCGCCGGGCUCGGCGGCACCGGCACAGGGAUGACCGGGACCCAUGGCACAGGCCACACCGCCGGGCUCGGCGGCACCGGCACAGGGAUCACCGGGACCCAUGGCACAGGGCACACGGCCGGGUAUGAUGCCACCGGUACUCAUGGCACAGGGCACACGGCCGGGUACGGCACGACCGGCACUGGGACCACCGGCGUCGGGAUCGCCGGAACCCACGGCGCCGUCGGCACACACCCUCAUGGCGGGGUAGCCGAGCACAAGACUCGUGGCAUCCUCCACCGCUCUGGCAGCUCCAGCUCCAGCUCGUCAUCCUCCGAGGACGACGGAAUGGGCGGCAGGAGGAAGAAAGGCAUGAAGCAGAAGAUCAAGGAGAAGCUCCCCGGCGGUAACAAGGAGCAGACCACAGCCACCGGCGGCUACGGGCCAGGGUACACGGGGACCACCGGCACUGGCGGGACCUACGGAGCCACUGAGGGGACACACGAGAAGAAGGGCGUCAUGGAGAAGAUCAAGGAGAAGCUCCCUGGCGGACACAAGGACAACCAGCCCCACACCACGGCUACCGGCGGCUACGGACCUGGCACCACUGGCACCACUGGCACCGGCGGCUAUGGUACAGGCACCACCGGCACAGCGGGGACGUACGGCGCCACUGAGGGCACCCACGAGAAGAAAGGCAUGAUGGAGAAGAUCAAGGAGAAGCUCCCCGGCGGCCACCACUGA
rnacentral:rRNA from 1 species